ACAGACAUGUUUUCUAGGAUUAUCGAGUUAUUUACAGGAAAAACAGAGUGCAUGGAGAGAUGAGAGAGAGAAAAAAAUGAUAUUAGGACUUCUUUCUUGUUAUAAAUAUGCAAACUAAAUAAUCUGGUGUAAAGCAGAGAGAGUAAGCCCUGAGCCAGUACUGGGGAACUUCCUGGAGAAGCUGUGCUUGGGUCAGACCUUCUAGGAGCAGGACUUAUGGUCUGAAACAUCUGGACUUUUAAAGAAGGGACCAAGCGUCAAGAAUAUCUGAUGAAUAUUUGGCAGACAGCCAGAAAUUGACAAGCAUGCAGUUAGUUUGCUAUGAGUUCCUUAAUUUCACUCUGAAUGAGAAAGAUAUCCAAUAGGAGCCACACAGAUAAAUCUUCGACUCUCAGGGGUCUGCUGGGAAGGCAUCAUGCCAACCUUCCACCAUCAAUGAGCAAGUUCAGCAGAUUAAGAAGUAGGAGAAACUGACUAUUGAGCUCAAGAAGAAAACCUCAAUGGAGAUUUUCUUGUUGACUGGGCUCAUAGCUUCAGACCUGAAGUCAGGGAUAAUAUGGACAAUGGAGAUCCAUUUGAAAGAAGCUGCUUAACUUGGAGGAACAGGGAAACAGUGAGCAAGAGUAAGAUGUUUGUCCACCAGGUGAUCCCUUGCUGAGAACAAAGUCUCCUCUUCACAGCCUGAAAACUGGGCAGGCUGGGUAAGUAGGCAUAGCUAACAAGCCAAUCCAAUUGUGUAAAUAUUUGUACAUAUACAGGGUAUAAAGGGAGAGCAUUUCAUUGACUAAGUUGAAUACAAACCCUGUCCACUAUGUUCUUAUAUCUUGCAAGGUAACUUUGGUGUAUUUUGUCUAUCCUGGGAUCCAGAAAGAUCGCUUCUCACUCUCAUUGUGAUUUCUUCCCUCAUAUGACCCUUAAGAGUACUGAGGAAGUCAGAGAAAAACACAGACAACAAUAAUCUACAUUGUAGAGAUCAAUUACUUCUCAUAAGAAACACUUCCUCAUAGCUGUGAAUUCAGCAGAGGGGCAAGCUGCAACCAAUGCUUGAUACUGCAUCUGAUGUCUGGUAUACAGGCUCAUUGACUAACUAUUCUAUUGGAGAAAGGAAACAUCAAAAGUUAGCAUGAGAACAAAAAAAAAAGACUUAAAAUUGAAUCAGAACUCUGAUACAUAGCAGUAAGUGUUCCCAGUGAGGGUCACAAAUAACAUGAAGGGUAUUACUUGAGCAAGAGUUACUCUGCUGGAGUCCUCAUAUUUCAUAUUUACUUGAAAAUCUGUCACAGCAAACUAUAUUGAUAUCAUACAAUAGUCCAGAGAGACCAUACCCAAAAGUAUAUAAUUCCUACUGAAAUAAAGUGUUGAUAAUACUGCACAUCACACAUUUGUAUGUGAGUCUAAAAUUAAUGUUCUACAUAGAUAAAAGCAUUCUCUCAAUCCUUAUCUAAGUAACUUGUUUUUUUUCCGUUUGGAAAAUGGCUGAGUAUUCUUCAGUUCCAAACAUGAACUGAAGUGACUCUUCCUCAGACUGUACACAUAGUGGACAUCUGAGUAGUAAUUGACAUUUUUAGCCAGGUGGGUCUCCCCAAGGGUCUUUUAGGCAUGAAUAAGCAUGUAUAGCCAUAUUUUAGCCAAGGGAUUCAUGUAGUAGCCUAAAUAUUACAGGAUCCCUCUGCUGUAAAUAAUUUUAUUUUACACAGCUGAAG